rnacentral:rRNA from 1 species
AGCAGCCGCGGUAAUUCCAGCUCCAAUAGCGUAUAUUAAAGUUGUUGCAGUUAAAAAGCUCGUAGUUGAACUUCGGGGUUUACCCAUUGGUCAGGCUUAAUUGUCUGUACUGGUGAGAUAAAUCUCUACCUUCUGAGGAACUUUCAUGUCAUUAAUUUGGUGUGAUUGGAAAUCAGGACUGUUACUUUGAAAAAAUUAGAGUGUUUAAAGCAGGCUAACGUCUGAAUACAUUAGCAUGGAAUAAUGAAAUAGGACGGACUGAUUCUAUUUCGUUGGUUUCUAGGAUCACCGUAAUGAUUAAUAGGGAUAGUUGGGGGCAUUAGUAUUCAAUUGUCAGAGGUGAAAUUCUUGGAUUUAUUGAAGACUAACUACUGCGAAAGCAUUUGCCAAGGAUGUUUUCAUUAAUCAAGAACGAAAGUUAGGGGAUCGAAGACGAUCAGAUACCGUCGUAGUCUUAACCAUAAACUAUGCCGACUAGGGAUCGGACGAAGUUAAUUUUAUAAUGACGCGUUCGGCACCUUACGG